rnacentral:lncRNA from 1 species
CUUAUAUGUUUUGAUUGGUAUCACAGGGAUGGGGUGUGGCUGUGCUUGUUGGAGUUCCGAACAAGGAUGCAGUCUUCAUGACUAAGCCGAUUAAUGUGCUGAAUGAAAGGACGCUUAAAGGAACAUUUUUUGGGAACUACAAACCUAGGACACACCUUCCCUCUGUUGUGGACAUGUACAUGAACAAGGUAACAUCAUUUUCUUCUAAGAUUCUACUUUAUCAGUGUUCAAUUUGUCUGUCAUGGAUUCUAAUGAACAAAACAUUUCUCCUUUUCACCUUCCAACAGGAACUGGAGGUAGAGAAGUUCAUAACUCAUCGAGUUCCUUUCUCCGAGAUCAACAAAGCCUUUGAUUAUAUGGUGAAGGGGGAAGGAUUGCGAUGCAUCAUUAGCAUGGAAGAAUAGCUGCUAUCAGUUCAUAAUUAAACUUCAAUAAGUUUCGUUGAUGAACAGCUUUAAGUAUUCAACAAAGGGAGCAGUUUCACACUGCUUAAGCAAUAUUUUGUGUAACCUGACAUGGAAACUAUGAACAGCUUUAAGUAUUCAACAAAGUGAGCAGUUUCACACUGCUUAAGCAAUAUUUUGUGUAACCUGACAUGGAAACCAUCAGCCUCCAUUCAAAGUCAAGUUGGGUUCAAUAAUUAAAUUGUAGAAUACAUUUUCAAUAAGACGAGUUCGAGUACAAUCUCCAAUUUUCCAUAUUUGAUAAAACAAAUAUAUAAACCAACAGACCUUUUGAAAAAACAGAACAGGGUCUCUCUCUCUCUCCAAAAAGUUAUAUUUUAGCCAAAAAUUUGAAGACGUUACUAAAAAGUUUAAAAUGCGAUUUCCUAAUCAAAAUCAAACAAAGUCAUCAAAUUUGUGCCGAGUGCAAUCCAUCACAUUUCGGGUUAAUGCAUCGAAGUGGGUAGAGAGCCUCAUUUUCUCUCCCCUCCUAGCCACAUGUGGGUGUGGCCAGUCCAUCUUUGCCUUCCUCGCAAUAGAGGGAAAGAGAGAGUCCUGUGAAGUGGUUAUUGGAGGCCAUUUUUUCUCAACAAUCUCUCUAAAAUAGACAGAACUUGUGUUGUGUUAUAAAAUUAAAGAGAUUGUAGAAAGAAUUUAGAGAAGUCAAAUAGCAAUAGGAAUGCUGUUCUGAUGCUUUCAUUGAUUCUUUUGUUCUAUAUUUUACAAUGAGGAGGAUGCCUUAUUUUAUAAGCAAAGAUUAUUGCCUCCCGUGGAUGUAUAGUUUGCUCUCAAGGAAUGAUGGCAGCAAGCUUCAUCAUGAUGUCCUUUAUUAUUUCCAAAUAUGUGGACUCCACUCAAGACUUUACAACAUGUUGCUCUUGAAUAUAAUGGAUUCUCAAUAUCACCUCUUUGGUUGCCAAUUGGCAUUUUCAAUUGGUUUUGAAGUACAAAACUCUAACUCCUGUGCACUCAUUACAUAUAUGUACAUAUAUAAACACACACAAAAUGUAUUCGAGGUUUAGAACUUUGUGUGCACAAUGACCAUUUCUUAAAGCUCCUAAAAAACCAAAAUUUCGCUUCAUCAGCCCCGAACUCUACUUCGGCUUCCUCUGGUCGUGUGAUCACCAGCAAAGGUAUACCAAUGCAACAUUUCAUACUUUUUAAGCUUUUUUAUUUUAUUUUAAACUUCUUGAAUUGGGUACAUUUAUUUGCUUCCUUUUAGAAUGUCUUAAUUUUGAAAGAUGGGAUUUUUUUUCUCCUAUUGUUUGAUUUUGCAGCGGCGGUCGCAUGGGAAGCAGGAAAGCCAUUGGUGAUAGAGAAAGUAGAGGUUGCUCCACCCCAGGCUAAUGAAGUGAAGGUCAAAAUCUAAUAUACCUCACUUUGUCACACUGAUGUCUACUUCUGGGAAGGAUAGGUCGGUUCUAUUUUUAUCAGAAUGCUUUCCAUUUCUUUGGGGUCUUAUUUUUUUUCUUCAUUUUUUUCUUUCCCAUUUAGCAUAAGUUUGAAUCUUUUACUUAUUUGUUAUAUGUUUCUUUAUGAAAAUUCAGGGACAGACACCAUUCUUCCCCCGAAUAUUCGAUCAUGAAGCAGCUGGGUACGUUGUUGCUUUUACGUGAAUCUUACUUCCUCUGGCUUCAUAAUGGACUAUUUUUCACAGUAUUGGUUCCUUUUCUUUCUUCCUUUCCCGCUCCCUUGGCUUCCAUAACCUGGUUUAGUUCACAUUAUGAAUGCAAAUGCUGAUUUUCAUAACAGAGUUGUUGAGAGUGUUGGGGACGGCGCUAUUAAAAACCUCAAGCCCGGGGAUCAUGUGCUUCCAGUUUUCACAGGGGAGUGUGGGGAUUGCGUGCAUUGCAAGUCUGAGGAAAGCAAUAUGUGUGACCUGCUGAGAAUCAAUACAGAUAGAGGAGUUAUGAUUGGUGAUGGGAAACAAAGGUUUUCCAAGAAUGGGACUCCUAUUAAUCACUUUCUUGGCACGUCCACCUUCAGUGACUAUACAGUCAUCCAUGAAGGCUGCCUUGCCAAGAUCGAUCUGUCAGCACCGUUAGACAAAGUCUGCAUCCUCAGUUGUGGUGUCUCAACAGGUUUAGUGUUACACUCUCAGAGCAUAAUGUUAUUGCAUAUUUGAUGAUAUGUGUAAUAGUAAAUGUUUUUCUCGCCAAAAAAUGGAAAUAAAAAUUCAGGAUUCUGUGCUACUCUGAAAGUGGCAAAACCAAAGAAGGGAUCUUCAGUUGCUGUCUUUGGACUUGGGGCUGUUAGCCUGGCAGUAAGUUUGGGAUAAAUUUUGUUGACAUAUCCUGAAUUGUAGUAGUUUGCCAUUUAUUUCCCAUGUGGUAUUCAUAAUUAUUUAUAUGUUUCUUUAGGCUGCUGAAGGUGCAAGAAUUUCUGGGGCAUCAAGGAUUAUUGGGGUUGACUUGAAUCCCAAGAGGUUUGAGGAAGGUACUUGUAAUUUUGUACAUCUUCAUUAGUUUGUCAUGGUUUACAUUUACUUGGAAAACAUAAGAAACAAAUUCUUGCUUGAUACUUUUAUUUCCCCUGGUUUUAAGCCAAGAACUUUGGAGUAAAUGAGUUCGUGAACCCAAGGGACCAUAUCAAGCCAGUGCAACAGGUGAAAAAUUGUUCUUAAUAGAAAAACCCCUUAAAGAUAGCAGUUAUAACCACUAGUAAAUCACCUUUGACACCAACAGAUUAUUGCUGAGAUGACGAAUGGUGGAGUCGACAGAAGCUUAGAGUGCACCGGCAACAUUAAUUCGAUUAUCUCCGCUUUUGAAUGUGUUCAUGAUGCAUGUUGUUUUUCAGAUAACAGCAGUUACAUUUUCAUAUUUUGUAAUAACUGAAGGCUUAAGUUACAGGGUAGGGUUGGUUCUGUUUUGAAUAACUCUUUUCUGGGUUUUGGAUUGAGACAGGAUUGGGGUGUGGCCGUUCUUGUAGGAGUACCAAGCAAAGAUGCAAUCUUCAAGACUAACCCCUUCAAUUCCCUUGAUGAAAGAACCCUUGAGGGAACCUUUUUGGGAACUACAAACCUCGGACUGAUCUUCCCUCUGUUGUAGACAUGUAUAUGAACAAGGUAAAAGAAUUUUCUUCUAAAUAUUCAAAUACAUUUUCAGGUGUUCAAAUCUUCUGUAGGCGAUUUUAACGAAUGCCUUUUGAUCACUUUCCGACAGAAACUUGAAGUAGAGAAGUUUAUAACUCAUCGAGUUCCUUUCUCAGAGAUCAACAAAGCCUGUGACUACAUGUUGAAGGGGGAAGGCUUGCGGUGUAUCAUUAGCAUGGAAGAGUAGGAUUAAUAUCAGAUAUAAAUAAAUAAAAACUUCAAUUAUUUUCUUUGCUGAAAAAGUUUAAAAAUUCAACAAGGUGUGAUAAAAAAAACUAAAAAAAAACUUCACUCCUUAUGAUUUUAAACUUCUUUUUUAAUUGCUUGUUUCUUGAGGGGAAAUGCGAGAAAAUGGAGGAGAGGUGGAGAGGGGGCUUCGAAGUUUGAAGCUCCAUUUUCUGUGGAAGCUUGGUAAAUAGUCGAACCAAGGCAAGCUAAAUCCAAGGAUGUACAGAAGGGUCAGUAAGCAAGCAGAUCAUAUUCUUCCACAAAUGAGGCAAUGGGUAAAUUCUCCAUGCACACUACAAGAUUACAAGUAGCUUAAGAUCCACUUUCUGAAAUGGAUGCCUCACACACGGUCAGGUUAGCUAUGAAAAUGAGUGAAUGAGCCCUACCAGUGAGGAUGUUACUUAUACUUCUCCAUGAUUCUUCUGGCUUCUUCUAGACUGUCCUCCAUCCCCUCCUCCUUUGGUGUAGAGGUGGUGCCUCCACCCCCCUUUGGUCCUUCAUCCUUAUUCAAAGCUAUAAAUGUAAAGUAUACGAGUCCCAUCGUAGCCUGUUAUCAUACAAUGCUUAGUUCAUUAGAAUUACAUAAUAUUUAUGUACUUCAAAAAUAAGGACUGUCUAUACAAGAAUAAUGCUCUCUUACUGACAAGAGGAAACUUGCCCUCAUUGCAUCUCAUUUCCUUAUAGAAACUAGUAACGCAGAAAAAGAAGUUGAUUUUAAAACACAAACACACAAAUGAUAGCACAAGCAUACUUGAUAUACAUUUUGGAAAAAGCAAGUCAAAUAACAUCAUCGAUCUACUGUUCUUGCAGGAGGAGAGAAAUAGAAACAUACCAGCACAAAGAAAACUUGAGUACAAAGAGUGAAGGAGAAAAUGCAACUACCGUCACAGAAACCCUUGCUAUUGAUCUUGGCACAGAAUCCUAGCACCCAAAUGCAAAACACAAACAGAAUAUCAAAAAUCUUCAAUUUGUACUAAAAGCAAGAAAAAGUUUGAAAGGGUAGACUAAACAUAACUUACCGGCACAAGAUUGGUUCCUGCCUCAAUUCCAUCUCUCCCAACCCUAUUUUACACAAUUCAAACCAGUAGUCAACACAAAUGUAAACAUAAAACUCAAGGGUAAAACUAUUUGCUCUCUUGUAUGAGCAGGAAAGCAGCAAAAGUAAUUCAUGUGAUUCAGAAAGGUAGAAACACUGUGAAUUGGAUGUAAACAGCCAAUGUCGUCCAUAUAUAAUUUAACUCAAAAUCUCAACCAGAAAAUUAAAAUGUUAUCCUAACAAUUCAAAAUUCUGACUCAAAAUUAGCCUGCAUGAAAAAUACUUGAAAAGAUUUCUUGACCUACUUUUAAUGCAUAAGAAAGACAAAUUUAAAAUAACAAAAAUUGCCCUGAGAAAAUCACACUUGCUGCACAUGGCAGCACGUCAGCUAGGUUUCACCCACCAAAUGGUAAGUUCCCAUGGAUUAUGGUAUGGAUGAUUAGCCAGUUCUCUCAACUAUCCGAUUAACGGGUGAUCACUCUUUAACGUAAGAAGAUUCAAGCUUUUCUAAACGGUUCCAUUCUCUAGUUACAGCUUCACUGCUUCUACAAAAGCGCCUUUACCUUUCAUGCCUGAUUGAAAUCUUUACAAUAGCUUUUUAUUUUUAGAGGCCAAUCAUUUACAAUUUCAUUCUACUAACCACUAAUCACCGGAGUUCCAAAGCACUGAAUUGAAAUCCACAAUCAAUGUUGAAAAUCGCUAGGCGGUAGGCGGGCGCCUAGGGCCUUUUUUUUAAAUUUAGAAUUAUUUUGUACUAAUCGCGGCCUGGUGGUGGUCGUCGCGGGUGGAGGCCCGGUGGUGUGGUGGUGGUCUGUCGUGAGAGAGAGAGAGAGAGAGAGAGAGAGAGAGAGAGAGAGGCAGCGUUAAACUCAAGGGAUAAAAAAAAUUUUAAAGGACCCGACCAGGCCGCCUAACUCCCGCCUAGCCGCCUAGGUGGCCGCUCUCGCCGCCUAGCCGCCUAGGUGGUCGCUCUCGCCUCCUAGCCGCCUAGGUGGUCGCUCUCGCCGCCUAGCGCAGCCUAGCAGCCUAGGUAGCCGCCUAGCGCCGCCUAGGCAGAUUUUUCGAACACUCGACAAUUUAGUGAUGGGAAACCAAGGUUUUCUAUCAAAGGGACUCCCAUUAAUCACUUUCUUGGCACAUCCACCUUCAGUGAACACACUGUUGUUCAUUCAGGCUGUCUUGCCAAGAUCAAUCGCCUGGCACCUUUGGAUAAAGUUUGCAUCCUUUGUUGUGGCAUCUCAACAGGUUUGGUGUCAUACUCAAAGCAUUAUGGUCAUGAUUUAUGUAUCCAAACAUUCCAUAAUUAAUCGUUUGUGUGAUAGGGAUUUUUCUUUAUAAAUUUCAGACUUGGGUGCCACCCUGAAUGUAGCAAAACCGAAGAAGGGAUCUUCAGUUGCUGUCUUCGGACUUGGGGCUGUUGGCCUGGCUGUAAGUUUUGGGAAAAUUUUGUUCAUCAAAUCCUUAAUUCCAAUAGUUGCAUUUAUUUCCUUUUCCGUAUUUUUACUGAUAUUUUUUUGUCUAGGCUGCUGAAGGUGCAAGAAUUUCUGGGGCAUCACGGAUUAUUGUGAUCGACCGAAAUCCCAAGAGGUUUGAGGAAGGUAUUUACAAUGUUGUCCAUUGUCAUUUACCAUGGUUUUAACAGGUAGUUUCAUGGGAAAACGUAGAAACAAAUUCUUGCUCAAAACCUUUUCUUUUUUCUGGUUUAGCCAAGAAAUUUGGAGUAAAUGAGUUUGUGAAUCCAAAGGACCAUGACAAACCAGUGCAAUGCAAGAGGUGAAAAACAGUUCUUUAUUCGUAUCAGAUGUUGCUACAUCAAUCCACAUAGAUAGUUAAGUUAUAUCCAACCUUCAGAUUUGAUCUUUAAAAUCAACAGGUUGUUGCUGAGAUGACAAACGGUGGAGUUGAUAGGAGCAUAGAGUGCACAGGCAAUAUUAACGCCAUGAUAUCGGCUUUUGAAUGUGUUCAUGAUGUAUGUUUUCUGGAUUACAGCAGCUACAUUUUGAUUGCAAAUAUUGGAGAUACAAUUUGGCCUAAACAGACGAACGCUUGAGGCGAUUUCCAUUCGCCUUGCUCCUACGCAUGCACUGGGGCGCGAUUAGGCAUGCCUUUGAAAACACUGGUACCAAUCAUUGAUGACCUGUGUGUGCUAGUUCAUCUUUAACACCUGUCUAUCUACAUUCUACCCUCAGCUGCAUCUGCAGUCAUGAGCUUAUAUGUUUUGAUCGGUAUCACAAGGAUGGGGUGUAGCUGUGCUUGUUGGAGUUCCGAACAAGGAUGCAGUCUUCAUGACUAAGCUGAUUAAUGUGCUGAAUGAAAGGACGCUUAAAGGAACAUUUUUUGGGAACUACAAACCUAGGACACACCUUCCCUCUGUUGUGGACAUGUACAUGAACAAGGUAACAUCAUUUUCUUCUAAGAUUUUCGUUUACUUUAUCAGGUGUUCAAUUCGUUUGUCAUGGAUUCUAAUGAACUAAGCAUUUUUCCUUUUCACUUUCCA